UAUCUCUGUAGAGUCUGCAUAUCAAUAAGCGGAGGAAAAGAAACUAACUAGGAUUCCCUUAGUAACGGCGAGUGAAGCGGGAAGAGCUCAAAUUUGAAAUCUUCAAGGUUUUUACCUUGACGAAUUGUAGUUUAAAGAAGUGUUUUCCUGUUGGAAGUUUUGGUAAAAGUUCUUUGGAAUAGGACAUCAUAGAGGGUGAGAAUCCCGUAUUUGACCUAUUAUUUUCUAGCUUUGUGAUACACUUUCAAAGAGUCGGAUUGUUUGGGAAUGCAGUCCAAAAUGGGUGGUAAAUUUCAUCUAAAGCUAAAUAUUGGCGAGAGACCGAUAGCGAACAAGUACCGUGAGGGAAAGAUGAAAAGAACUUUGAAAAGAGAGUUAAAGCAGUACGUGAAAUUGUCAAAAGGGAAGCGUUUUGACACCAGUGUUGUUUUUCUCGAAAAUCAAUUAAAAAAAAGUUGGAUUUUGUAUUGUUAAGACCUUAUCAGCUUACUGUACUCUUUUCUUGCUUUUUUUUAAUGCACUUUUCGUUUAACAAGUCAACAUCAAUUUCUUUUGUUGUAAAAGAGUCAUUGGAAGGUGGCUUUCACUUCGGUGAAAGUGUUUUAUAGCCCUUGGCUUCUGCAAUCGGAGAGAUUGAGGUCUGCAGCGUAGAUCCUUCGGGGCUAGAUACGUAGAUGCUAAGUUAUAGUUUUUUUAUAGACAACUUGUUGACUAUAAUUAAUCAUGUAGCUUACUCGUUUGCGCUAUUUUACCUACGCUUAGGAUGUUGAUCUGUAGUGCGUGCGC
rnacentral:rRNA from 1 species